rnacentral:lncRNA from 1 species
UCCAACUAAUGCAGAUGUCUGUGAAUCAGCAAAUGCUAUUGUUACACAUUUUCCCUCAGAAAAGCUUGAAACAUGGUAUACUGCUCCUACGAGUAAAAAAACUAUAGCUGGUGGAAAGUUGUCCGAGAAGCUUCGCAACACAUGGCGAAAUAUUAAAUCAGUGGGUAUUUUAAAAAAUUCUAACGGCCAACAAUGAAGAACAUGAUAGUAGCGAUGAAGAAGCAAUUCAAGAUGACCUUAAUUGGCCUA